rnacentral:rRNA from 1 species
UAGGGAAUCUUCGGCAAUGGACGGAAGUCUGACCGAGCAACGCCGCGUGAGUGAAGAAGGUUUUCGGAUCGUAAAGCUCUGUUGUAAGAGAAGAACGAGUGUGAGAGUGGAAAGUUCACACUGUGACGGUAUCUUACCAGAAAGGGACGGCUAACUACGUGCCAGCAGCCGCGGUAAUACGUAGGUCCCGAGCGUUGUCCGGAUUUAUUGGGCGUAAAGCGAGCGCAGGCGGUUAGAUAAGUCUGAAGUUAAAGGCUGUGGCUUAACCAUAGUAGGCUUUGGAAACUGUCUAACUUGAGUGCAAAAGGGGAGAGUGGAAUUCCAUGUGUAGCGGUGAAAUGCGUAGAUAUAUGGAGGAACACCGGUGGCGAAAGCGGCUCUCUGGCUUGUAACUGACGCUGAGGCUCGAAAGCGUGGGGAGCAAACAGGAUUAGAUACCCUGGUAGUCCACGCCGUAAACGAUGAGUGCUAGGUGUUAGACCCUUUCCGGGGUUUAGUGCCGCAGCUAACGCAUUAAGCACUCCGCCUGGGGAGUACGACCGCAAGGUUG